rnacentral:tRNA from 1 species
AUUUAAAUAGCUUAUUUAGAGCGUAAUAUUGAAGAUAUUAAGGUGACUUAAGGUUUUUAAAUA